rnacentral:rRNA from 1 species
UACGGAGGGUGCAAGCGUUAUCCGGAUUUACUGGGUUUAAAGGGUGUGUAGGCGGACUUUUAAGUCAGCGGUGAAAUCUCCGGGCUCAACCCGGAAACUGCCAUUGAUACUAUUAGUCUUGAAUAUUGUUGAGGUAGGCGGAACGGGUCAUGUAGCGGUGAAAUGCAUAGAUAUGACCCGGAACACCGAUUGCGAAGGCAGCCUACUAAGCAAUUAUUGAACGCUGAGGCACGAAAGCGUGGGGGAUCAAACAGGG